AAUAUCCUUUAUUCUUAAAUCAGUGCCUGACCCAGAUUCUACUAUUGAUCUUGAGCUCUGCGUAUCCAGAUGUCUUCAGGGUGUCUCCACUUGGAAAUCUUCAUGGGAAGAGAUCUGCUGGACCUGGCUUGUACUGGCUAAUGAGAGGCAUCGCAUUUGGAGGUCUUUCCUCCCUCACAGUAAUUCUUCCUGUUUAUAACCACAUGUCUUCUCUGAUUGUGCUUCACUGUAGAAAACUGAAACCUUGGAAAUCAAGCUGUACUGUACAUUGAGUGUGUGCAUUUCUUCUAAAUGUUUAAAAGAAGAAAGAUUAUUUGGUCUCAUCUGACAUCUAGCAAGUUCAGAGUUAUAUUUUUCCUAUACCAUUUGGGAGGCCCUGGCAAGAUCUUUGACAGAGAUGGGAAACUCAGUGUCAAAUUCCCUUGUUCUUUUGGAGUGUAUUGUUAA
rnacentral:lncRNA from 1 species